rnacentral:rRNA from 1 species
AUUGAACGCUGGCGGAAUGCUUUACACAUGCAAGUCGAACGGCAGCACGGACUUCGGUCUGGUGGCGAGUGGCGAACGGGUGAGUAACAUAUCGGAACGUAUCCAAUAAUGGGGGAUAACGAGUCGAAAGAUUCGCUAAUACCGCAUACGCCCUACGGGGGAAAGCUGGGGACCUUCGGGCCUGGCGUUAAUGGAGCGGCCGAUAUCUGAUUAGCUAGUUGGUGAGGUAAAGGCUCACCAAGGCGACGAUCAGUAGCUGGUCUGAGAGGACGACCAGCCAUACUGGAACUGAGACACGGUCCAGACUCCGACGGGAGGCAGCAGUGGGGAAUUUUGGACAAUGGGCGCAAGCCUGAUCCAGCCAUUCCGCGUGAGUGAAGAAGGCCUUCGGGUUGUAAAGCUCUUUCGCAAGGGAAGAAAACUUAGCCACUAACAUUGGUUGAGGUUGACGGUACCUUGAUAAGAAGCACCGGCUAACUACGUGCCAGCAGCCGCCGUAA